rnacentral:tRNA from 1 species
AAAAGUAAAACAUUUAGAUGUGCCAGAUUCUUACUCUGGAAAAGUAAAUAAUUUCUACUUUUA